rnacentral:rRNA from 1 species
UACGUAGGGGGCUAGCGUUGUCCGGAAUCAUUGGGCGUAAAGCGCGUGUAGGCGGUCCGGUAAGUCCGCUGUGAAAGUCGAGGGCUCAACCCUCGAAUGCCGGUGGAUACUGUCGGGCUUGAGUACGGGAGAGGCGAGUGGAAUUCCUGGUGUAGCGGUGAAAUGCGCAGAUAUCAGGAGGAACACCGAUUGCGAAGGCAGCUCGCUGGAACGUUACUGACGCUGAGGCACGAAGGCCAGGGGAGCAAACGGG